GGGCCCGUAGCUCAGUGGUAGAGCAAACGACUCUUAAUCGUUUGGCCGAGCGUUCGAAUCGCUCCGGGCUCA
rfam:Candidatus Beckwithbacteria bacterium RIFCSPHIGHO2_12_FTLL_47_17 rifcsphigho2_12_scaffold_20159, whole genome shotgun sequence.